rnacentral:rRNA from 1 species
UUAAGUUAUUAAGGGCGCACGGUGGAUGCCUUGGCACUAGAAGCCGAUGAAGGACGUUACUAACGACGAUAUGCUUUGGGGAGCUGUAAGUAAGCUUUGAUCCAGAGAUUUCCGAAUGGGGAAACCCAGCAUGAGUUAUGUCAUGUUAUCGAUAUGUGAAUACAUAGCAUAUCAGAAGGCACACCCGGAGAACUGAAACAUCUUAGUACCCGGAGGAAGAGAAAGAAAAUUCGAUUCCCUUAGUAGCGGCGAGCGAAACGGGAAGAGCCCAAACCAACAAGCUUGCUUGUUGGGGUUGUAGGACACUCUAUACGGAGUUACAAAGGACGACAUUAGACGAAUCAUCUGGAAAGAUGAAUCAAAGAAGGUAAUAAUCCUGUAGUCGAAAAUGUUGUCUCUCUUGAGUGGAUCCUGAGUACGACGGAGCACGUGAAAUUCCGUCGGAAUCUGGGAGGACCAUCUCCUAAGGCUAAAUACUCUCUAGUGACCGAUAGUGAACCAGUACCGUGAGGGAAAGGUGAAAAGCACCCCGGAAGGGGAGUGAAAUAGAACCUGAAACCGUGUGCUUACAAGUAGUCAGAGCCCGUUAAUGGGUGAUGGCGUGCCUUUUGUAGAAUGAACCGGCGAGUUACGAUUUGAUGCAAGGUUAAGCAGUAAAUGUGGAGCCGUAGCGAAAGCNNNNNNNNNNNNNNNNNNNNNNAGUCUGAAUAGGGCGUUUAGUAUUUGGUCGUAGACCCGAAACCAGGUGAUCUACCCUUGGUCAGGUUGAAGUUCAGGUAACACUGAAUGGAGGACCGAACCGACUUACGUUGAAAAGUGAGCGGAUGAACUGAGGGUAGCGGAGAAAUUCCAAUCGAACCUGGAGAUAGCUGGUUCUCUCCGAAAUAGCUUUAGGGCUAGCCUCAAGUGAUGAUUAUUGGAGGUAGAGCACUGUUUGGACGAGGGGCCCCUCUCGGGUUACCGAAUUCAGACAAACUCCGAAUGCCAAUUAAUUUAACUUGGGAGUCAGAACAUGGGUGAUAAGGUCCGUGUUCGAAAGGGAAACAGCCCAGACCACCAGCUAAGGUCCCAAAAUAUAUGUUAAGUGGAAAAGGAUGUGGCGUUGCCCAGACAACUAGGAUGUUGGCUUAGAAGCAGCCAUCAUUUAAAGAGUGCGUAAUAGCUCACUAGUCGAGUGACACUGCGCCGAAAAUGUACCGGGGCUAAACAUAUUACCGAAGCUGUGGAUUGUCCUUUGGACAAUGGUAGGAGAGCGUUCUAAGGGCGUUGAAGCAUGAUCGUAAGGACAUGUGGAGCGCUUAGAAGUGAGAAUGCCGGUGUGAGUAGCGAAAGACGGGUGAGAAUCCCGUCCACCGAUUGACUAAGGUUUCCAGAGGAAGGCUCGUCCGCUCUGGGUUAGUCGGGUCCUAAGCUGAGGCCGACAGGCGUAGGCGAUGGAUAACAGGUUGAUAUUCCUGUACCACCUAUAAUCGUUUUAAUCGAUGGGGGGACGCAGUAGGAUAGGCGAAGCGUGCGAUUGGAUUGCACGUCUAAGCAGUAAGGCUGAGUAUUAGGCAAAUCCGGUACUCGUUAAGGCUGAGCUGUGAUGGGGAGAAGACAUUGNGUCUUCGAGUCGUUGAUUUCACACUGCCGAGAAAAGCCUCUAGAUAGAAAAUAGGUGCCCGUACCGCAAACCGACACAGGUAGUCAAGAUGAGAAUUCUAAGGUGAGCGAGCGAACUCUCGUUAAGGAACUCGGCAAAAUGACCCCGUAACUUCGGGAGAAGGGGUGCUCUUUAGGGUUAACGCCCAGAAGAGCCGCAGUGAAUAGGCCCAAGCGACUGUUUAUCAAAAACACAGGUCUCUGCUAAACCGUAAGGUGAUGUAUAGGGGCUGACGCCUGCCCGGUGCUGGAAGGUUAAGAGGAGUGGUUAGCUUCUGCGAAGCUACGAAUCGAAGCCCCAGUAAACGGCGGCCGUAACUAUAACGGUCCUAAGGUAGCGAAAUUCCUUGUCGGGUAAGUUCCGACCCGCACGAAAGGCGUAACGAUUUGGGCACUGUCUCAACGAGAGACUCGGUGAAAUCAUAGUACCUGUGAAGAUGCAGGUUACCCGCGACAGGACGGAAAGACCCCGUGGAGCUUUACUGUAGCCUGAUAUUGAAAUUCGGCACAGCUUGUACAGGAUAGGUAGGAGCCUUUGAAACGUGAGCGCUAGCUUACGUGGAGGCGCUGGUGGGAUACUACCCUAGCUGUGUUGGCUUUCUAACCCGCACCACUUAUCGUGGUGGGAGACAGUGUCAGGCGGGCAGUUUGACUGGGGCGGUCGCCUCCUAAAAGGUAACGGAGGCGCUCAAAGGUUCCCUCAGAAUGGUUGGAAAUCAUUCAUAGAGUGUAAAGGCAUAAGGGAGCUUGACUGCGAGACCUACAAGUCGAGCAGGGUCGAAAGACGGACUUAGUGAUCCGGUGGUUCCGCAUGGAAGGGCCAUCGCUCAACGGAUAAAAGCUACCCCGGGGAUAACAGGCUUAUCUCCCCCAAGAGUUCACAUCGACGGGGAGGUUUGGCACCUCGAUGUCGGCUCAUCGCAUCCUGGGGCUGUAGUCGGUCCCAAGGGUUGGGCUGUUCGCCCAUUAAAGCGGUACGCGAGCUGGGUUCAGAACGUCGUGAGACAGUUCGGUCCCUAUCCGUCGUGGGCGUAGGAAAUUUGAGAGGAGCUGUCCUUAGUACGAGAGGACCGGGAUGGACAUACCUCUGGUGUACCAGUUGUCGUGCCAACGGCAUAGCUGGGUAGCUAUGU